GACGAACGCUGGCGGCGUGCCUAAUACAUGCAAGUAGAACGCUGAAGGAGGAGCUUGCUCUUCUGGAUGAGUUGCGAACGGGUGAGUAACGCGUAGGUAACCUGCCUGGUAGCGGGGGAUAACUAUUGGAAACGAUAGCUAAUACCGCAUAAGAGUAGAUGUUGCAUGACAUUUGCUUAAAAGGUGCAAUUGCAUCACUACCAGAUGGACCUGCGUUGUAUUAGCUAGUUGGUGGGGUAACGGCUCACCAAGGCGACGAUACAUAGCCGACCUGAGAGGGUGAUCGGCAACACUGGGACUGAGACACGGCCCAGACUCCUACGGGAGGCAGCAGGAGGGAAUCUUCGGCAAUGGACGGAAGUCUGAACGAGCAACGCCGCGUGAGUGAAGAAGGUUUUCGGAUCGUAAAGAUCUGUUGUAAGAGAAGAACGAGUGUGAGAGUGGAAAGUUCACACUGUGACAGUAUCUUACCAGAAAGGGACGGCUAACUACGUG
rnacentral:rRNA from 1 species